rnacentral:rRNA from 1 species
AUGGCCACCGUCCGUUCUCUCCGCAAAAGAUGGAGAGCCAAGCAGUACAUCUCCGCAGCUAUGCUGGGAACGCUGUUCGCUGUUGCCCUGGUAGCUGCUACCUCCAUCAGCCUCGCCCCAGCACGGAUGAGCUUCUCCGUCGUGAAAGCGGAAAUCGGCACCUACAAAAAGCCACUGACCGGUCCGGUCACCAACACACACUUAAACUUCGAUCUCGUGGCCAACAACACCAGCCAGCGCACGGCGGUUUGGUUUGACUCCGUGAGCGCCGAGAUAUGGUACGGCCCUGCGGCCACGGCUUGGGUCCGGACCAAGAAAGCAGGGCUACCAGCCGGGUGGCAACCGCCCAGGAGCGUGAUCAGCAUCAACGUCUCGGCUGACUACGGGGCGACACGAGCUGCGACAAACCCCAGAAGACUCUACCCUCCCCCCCCCUCCUUCUCCCUCUUGCCGUCAUCGGUGCAUCCGAGGGAAAAGCCCCCGUGGAGCCUGCGGUUGCGGGGCCUCUUCCAUGCGGUCGUUGGUGACGGCACAGAUCUGGCCGCGCCGCAGCCGUUCCUGGAGAGCCAGGCACGACCAACUACCUGGACGCCCGCCGAGAAGCAGAGGCGCAGGAGCUCCGCCUUUACUCGCCGCACCGCCAUGUCGCUUGACACCAGCUCCAUGCUCCGGCCCAAGGCGCCGGCCCAUGCCAACACUGAUCGAACAGGAGGACCACUAGGCCCCACCGCCACCGGCGAUGGCGACUGGAGUGUAGGAGGCGCGCGUGAUAAAGCCAAUCUUCGGGGGAACGAGGCCCCCCUGGUGGCCACAUCCGUAGUCAUGUUCGUCCUCGCCGUGCUCUUCUUCAUCCUCAACCUCUUCAGCCGUUCCUCCGAUAUGAGCACCAACCUCAACCCUACUGUCCGCCUCUUCCUCUCCACCUCGCUCUCUCUCUUCCUCCCCGCCAUGUCAUACCUCUUCUCGGAGGCCAAGAACGCGGUCGGCCAGACGGAGGACCUCUCGGUUCGAGCCCGGACGAUCCUCAUGUGGAUGUUCCUCGUGGAGCUCCUCCGCAAGAAGGUGGAGGCGAUUCUGGUCACCGCGGGCAUGCAGGGCUAUUCGGACACAAUCCACAGCGCCAGCCGGGUCGUCUGGCUAGGCAGCCUCGUCUUCUUCAACCUAAGAAGCGCCGGCAAGAAGGCAUUGUAUGGAACCCUGUGGGUUCUUGCAGCCGCCAAGUUGGUGCAGAGGUUCGUCACCGUAGAGCUGGGAAAGCGUUCCUUCGCCUAUGGCAAGAACCCCCAGCUUAUCGCCUCUUACAUGACCCAGAUGCUGAAGCUACAAGGUCAGGCUGGGUCGGAUGUUUUGAAGCGGUGCAACUACGUCGUGAUUGGUGAAGAGGAGCUGAAGAAGAAGGCCGGCCCCAAGGGUUACAAGCUCGAGGAGCUGGGGAAGGCAAUAUCAGAAGCCGACUCCAGUGUCGUCACGGUUGGCAAAAUCUGGGCUCUCGCUGAGAAAGACCCGAUGCUCCGUAAGGACCCGAAGCUGAAGCGGAUAUGUCUCUCCUUCGCCCUCUUCAAGAUGCUCCGCCGGAGGCUGGAGGAGUUCCCCAUCACCGACGCGGAAGCCUCCAACUGCCGCGACCUCAUCCUCAAAGGUCUGCGGCGAGAGGGCAUGGGUGGGGAGGAUGCCAUCCAACUAUUCAGCGACGAACUCCAGUUCCUCUGCGAGUACUACCACUCUGUACUUCGGGUGGUGUUUGCCAGCCCCUUCUUCUUCGUGCACAACUACAUCCUGUUCCCCAUCAUUGUAUGGGCAUUGUGCAUCCUCAUGCUCAUCUUGUGUAGCAACGGGGACGUGGCCUACGCCUGGCACAGCUUCAGGAAUGACAACUACGUCAUGUCCGGCAGCGUGCUGAGGAUGGCCAAGUGCGUCCUGGGCAAGGUUUGGGAGUCCCUGUCUACCCCUUUCGUCUUCUGCAGCAUCGACAUAUCCAUCACCAUCCUGCUUAUCCUCGCCUUCGCCUACGAGGAGGUGUGGGAGUUCAUCCUGUUCCUGCUCUCCAACUGGUUCAUGGUGUCACUGCUCUGCAGCCACACCUCCAUGCCGGAGUGGCGCACGCACCCGCUUCUGAGCAGGAUCAUCCCGUGCAUCGUCACGGUGAGGAACAUGAUGUACCACCCUACAGAGCCUGAGGACGGACGCGAGGCGGCCACGGCGUUGUCCGGAUACUGCGCCUACUUGGUGGCCUUCCAUCCGAAGCUCCUCCCGGACGACAAGGACGGGACGGAGCUGGUGUAUGCGGACAUGAAAAAGCAGCUGAGAGAGGAGAUGGGAGGCUGGUGGUGUUACUACCGCUCCGGUGAGAGCGACCGGUACACCAAGCUGAUGAAGGUCGCACGGACCAGGCAGGAGGAGACGACGGUGAUAAGCAAGGGAGCUAGGCUCGGGAAGGUUUUCAUCGACAGGUACAAAGAUGACGCACGCGAGAGAGUGUGGAAGCUGCUGGGCGACCUCUGGACUGAGGUGAUGCUGUAUGUGGCGCCGACGAGCGGCGAGCUGCACAUGAAGGCCCACAAGGAGGCGCUGGCCGAGGGCGGCGAGUUCAUCACCGUGCUCUGGGCGAUUGUCACCCACACCGGCAUAGCCCGCGCACCAGAGCCGGCAGAGGCGCCGCUUCGGACCAUCUCCAUUGCGGGUUAA